ACAGGUCAAAGUCUGCGCUCUGGAUGUGCAAGGAGGCUGUUCUGCUGAUACCCCCUCCUCAGUUCUUCAAGAAGAAAAAUACCAUUUCAUGAACGCUGUGCCCAAGAGAUCCUCCAGCGACCACAACACCCAAAAGUCCUUCUCUGUUCAUGAACAAGGUCCAGAACAGGUCAUGUUCUCUGUGCAUGAACAAGGCACCUUCUCUAUUUAGCUCACUCAUCAGCUGUUUCAGGCAGUUUUCUGCCACACACUUCAGGAAACUCCUGGACUAUUUCCUCUCCACUGUAUUAUAUUUCCAGCAGACAUCUAGUAUACUGAAGUCCCCCACAAGGCUUUUUUCCUUAGGAAGACUGCAUUCAUCAGUACCAUGCUGUUUGGGGGAAAGGAAAAGAAGUGGAAGUUUCCAGAUACCACAGUAAUGUGUUUUGCUCAUGCUCGAAGACAUUUUCCCAAUGAUAAGACAUCUCAGUCUUGCAUGUUCAGAAGACUUGCCAAAGCUUGAAACUUCUCACUGGAAGAUAUUAACGGGUGACAGAGGCUGAACUGGCCUCUUUCGAAUGGCUUAGAAUCCUGAUGUGCUAAUUGCUAGCAUAUGCAGACAUUUCGGUUCUUUCUCCUCUCUUCAUUGGCACCUUCAUGCUAUGGGACAGGGAACUUUAACUGACUUUAAUAUACAGUGGAAACCAGUAGAAGGGCAAUGAAACCUGGGAAGAAUUGAAGAUUCCGGAGGUAGGCUGCAGUUCUGCAGUGCCAUGUGUUAUAUGCGUAUGGACUUCUUUCUUGAUUCAGGGGUCAGAACCAAAAUCCUAGUAAAAUGAAGGGCCACAGAAGUGAAGUAAACUGCUCUCUGCAUAAUCUGUAACAUUUGGUGCUGAGGUUGGGUGGUGACCAAGGCAGGAGUGUUCAUGUAGGGGAAGAGGAAGGGAAAUCUGCAAGAAAGCAAGUGUUCUUACUGGUAGAUAGGUCCUAAAAAAUAGGCCCUGGAAACUAUGUGUGUUUUUUUAAAUGGGAAAUUUUAAACAAAGCUAUCAUCUGGCUCUGCAUUCACUCUGUGUCAUCAACUUAAUAGAUGUUUCAAAAAAAACCCCCCAGUAACUUGAAUUAUUCUCUGUGCGAAAUCUGUUGAAGACUACUUAAUCUACCACUCUAAUCCUGAUAAACUGUUGGAAGUACUCGGGCACUGGAGGUUGUCUACCUAGUCAUCAGUAAAUCUCUCUCCCAUAAAAGCCUCAUAGACAAGCUGUUGGUCUAGGGGGUGGAUGAACAGACAGUGAGGUGGAUUGAAAACUGGCUAAAUGGAUGGGCCCUGAGGGAGGGGACCACCCAGCUGGAAAGCAGUUUGGCAGAAAAGGACCUGAAGGUCAAUGAACAAUAAGAUGGGGAUCAGUGGGGUAAACCUGCUCCCACUGUAGGGGAGAAUCAGGUUCAUGACCACCUGAGGAACCUGAACAUAUAUAAGUCUACGGAACCUGAUGAGAUGCACCCCAGAGUCCCGAAGGAAUUGACCGAUGUGGUUGCCAAGCCACUCUCCAUGAUAUUUGAAAGGUCAUGGCAAUCAGGAGAAGUCCCUGGUGGCUGGAAGAAGGGUAACAUUGUCCCUAUUUUUAAAAAGGGUAGAAAAGUUGACCCUGGGAACUACUGACCGGUCAGUCUCACCUCUGUGCUUGGGAAGAUCAUGGAAUAGAUCCUCCUAGAAAACAUGCUAAAGCACAUGGAGGACAGGGAGGUCAUUAGUGGCAGCCAGCAUGGCUUCACCAAGGAGAAGUCCUGUAUGACCAACCUAGUGGCUUUCUAUGAUGGGGUAAUCACAGCAGUGAACAUCACCAACGGAUGUGAUCUAUCUAAACUUCCGUAAAGCCUUUGACACAGUCCCUUCUCUCUAAAUUGGAGAGAUGUGGAUUUCAUGUGUGGACUGCGGUGGAUAAGAAAUUGGUUGGAUGGUCGUAUUCAGAGAGUAGUGGUCAAAGGCUUGAUGUCCAGAUGGAGAUCCAUCACAAGUGGUGUCCUCCCUCAGGGGUCUGUACUGGGACUAGUGCUCCCCUCCGUUGAACCCGGCACCACAGAAGAGGCUCUCAGGCGAUAUCCCAAGCUCUGUCCUUAGGGAGGUCAGCUACUGCCCGAACUCUACUAUUUGUUGCUGGAAGCACAAAAACAAACAUGCAAAUGGCCAGCCUUCAUACAAAAUGUUUAAGGCAAAGAAAGAAGCAUAGUCAGGCUUAACAUUCCACCCCAUGACAAACAUUUGUCACAGAACUCAUAUAAAAGGCUCGGGUCCAUGCUGUCUGUAGUGGUGACACUUACAAGAAGGGGAGAGGAUAAGGAGAAUAAGGCCGAGGAAGAGAGAAGGAAGAUCCACAAGCUAUCAACUUGCCCAGUCAAAAAACACAGGGUAUUUCCUAGAUCCACAAGCUCCCAUCUUGUGCCUAGGCCUCUUUCGACUUGUACAUUUGAAAGACAAGAGGAGUUUAGGAUUGAGAUAUACCAUAUAGGGGAAGAAAGACAGGGAGGAAAAGACAACCAGGAUGGCAUGCGUGAUUAUCCAAGGGUCAGGAUUAAUAUAACAAUAGCCAAGUGAACCAGUAUGAGUACAAAUCUAACAAUCAAAAAAUAACAUUUUAACAAAUAGGGUUGUGAAAAACAGGGAAGAAAGGUUGGCUUUGCACCAGUAAACAAUGCCAAAUAAGGACAUGUAAUGCUACCCCUAAAGACCCCCAUGAUGGACUAUGAGGGGAGAAAGAUAAAACACUAAGCCACAUAGUUAUCUGGUUUUUCCUAAGGAUGGAAUUUUCGAUCCCAAGGACAGAACUCAAAAAACUGUGUGAUGAUGAUAAAACAUAGAAUUCUGACAUAGAGACUUUUUUAGUGGGGCGGUGACUGUAUCUGAUUGAAGCCAGAUAACAAGGACUGGUACAAUGGUCAUGGGAAGGACCACCAUCUGGGCCAGAUAAUGCCCAAAGACAGCCUAGGCUCUCUAAGAGCAUGUGCAAGCUUGGAGGAAAGAUCACCCUUGCACCCUAUGCACAGUCGCAUACCUACGCCUAACUCUGCAUUUGGUGUUGUCACUCCGCAAGUCAAUUUUCGCACCCCACAUGGGACCCUCUCUGUCAGGCUGCGGGACCUGCUGAGGAUGAGGACUUCUCUGGGCGCCCCCAGAUUUUCUCAGGAAGACUACCUUCACUCACCCAGACCACCGCAGGGACAGACAAGGACCAUCUUUGAGCCGACAAGAUAUGUGAGCAGGGCAGUGACUGUACCUGGUUGAAAACAGAUAACAGACUGGUACAACAGUCAUGGGAAGGACCACCAGCUGGGCCAGAUAAGGCCUGAAGACGGCCUAGGGUCUCUAAGAGCAUGUGCAAGCUUGGCGGAAAGAUCACCCUUGCACCCUGUGCACAGCCACAUACCUGCACCUAAUUAUGCGUCUGGUGUCAUCACUCCACGAGUCAAUGACAUCCUCAAGAUUAUCCUUCACCAUGACUUUCUUGCUCCCAGUCAAGAUCAAUGGGUCUAGACCUCUCUUCCUGAGGAGCAAUAAUAGCAUUAACAGAGAAUAUCAACUGAGAAAUAUGCAACUUCCUUAUGAAAGGAAAUAUUCAACUUAGAGAAAGCCAAAUUCUAUAAUACAAGUAUUGUGAAAGUAGCCACAUCAACUAUAUUAAAUACAAACACAAAAUCAACAGUCGUGGGAAAAGGUCUCAGCCCAUCAUCAGCAGGGAGAUCAUAGCAGUGUGUCAGAACAUGUCCUCAGUCCACGUGGCUCCAUGGUAUAUCAUUGAGGUAUUUUUUUUUCCUGAUAAAAAGAAAGAAAACUCUGUCCAAGACAGGACCCAUUUUAAAAAGAAGGAACAAUCCACUGUUUAUUUCUUUUAUUCCCGUUUCUGUGGGCAUCGGUGGCUAUCCACACAUACAGAUCAAGAAGAAUUGUUUAGAGAAAGAGGUGCCUCUCAAAAUUUGGGAGGCUCACCAGGACAGGCUGUCCUGGGCAGUAUCUAGAUUUGCCGAGGGGGAAAGUAGCUAGUAAAUCCCCUUAUUUGUUUUCUGUGAGCCACCUGAAGUAAGCCCACUGGCUCCUUUUCGAGGCAGCUAAAGGUAGCUCCAUGAGAUUUCUCAGCCUGGGGGGCUGGUAAUCUUCCUGACAGGAGCUGAAGUAGCAGGAGCUGAAGUAGUGGCUUCUGUUCCCUUUUUAACAAAGGGGCUUGCAGGCAUUUCUUUUCUGGAGUGGAUUUUGUCCAGGGGCUGUUGCUUUUUUGCCCACCAAUGCACAUUAGAUAGGGGCAGGCCAGGCAUUAAGUAUUGGGAAACGGCCUUUCCUCCUCCUUUGACUCAGAGCAACUUUGUGAAGCCUCAAGGAGUCAGGGGCAUCUCUUAUGAAGGAAAUAAUUUUGCCUGGGUUUGCUAACAUUAGCAUCAGGUCACACAUCAACUGCAAGUAAACUGCCUUUUAUAUGCUUCCAGUGAGGUGGCCAAUCCCAGGAGUAGGGGUUGCAAUCACAUCAUCCUGCUUCAAAAAUCCAUUUCCUCCAACCCAGCAAAGUACUGUUUGAAUCACAAAGCAUGGUGGUCCCUCAUGCUCCUGCAACUGGGCAAGCUCCUG